AGCAGUCGCCACGGUAAUACAGAGGGUGCGAGCGUUAAUCGGAUUUACUGGGCGUAAAGCGUGCGUAGGCGGCUUUUUAAGUCGGAUGUGAAAUCCCUGAGCUUAACUUAGGAAUUGCAUUCGAUACUGGGAAGCUAGAGUAUGGGAGAGGAUGGUAGAAUUCCAGGUGUAGCGGUGAAAUGCGUAGAGAUCUGGAGGAAUACCGAUGGCGAAGGCAGCCAUCUGGCCUAAUACUGACGCUGAGGUACGAAAGCAUGGGGAGCAAACAGGAUUAGAUACCCCAGUAGUCCCUGUCUCUUAUAC
rnacentral:rRNA from 1 species